rnacentral:rRNA from 1 species
GGCCUCAAAUCAGACAAGAGUACCCGCUGAACUUAAGCAUAUCAAUAAGCGGAGGAAAAGAAACUAACAAGGAUUCCCCUAGUAACGGCGAGUGAAGCGGGAACAGCUCAAAUUUUAAAUCUGGCUGCUUUGUAGUCCGAGUUGUAAUUUGAAGGAGUCUUGCCGCUGGCAAAACGAUGGCACAAGUCCUCUGGAACGGGGCAUCGUAGAGGGUGAGAAUCCCGUCUCUGGUCAUCAUGCGCUGGCAUACGGCAGGCAUCCGAAGAGUCGAGUUGUUUGGGAUUGCAGCUCCAAAUGGGUGGUAAACUCCAUCUAAGGCUAAAUAUUGGCGAGAGACCGAUAGCGAACAAGUACCGUGAGGGAAAGAUGAAAAGAACUUUGAAAAGAGAGUAAAACAGUACGUGAAAUUGUUGAAAGGGAAACGAUUGAAGUCAGUCAUGCCGGCGUUGGAUUCAGCUUGCUUCGCGGAGCUUGCGCAUUUCCUCGCAUGGCAGGUCAGCGUCAGUUUUGCGCGGCGUGAAAAGGCUCGGGUAAGGUGGCUCUCUUCGGGGAGUGUUAUAGACCUGGGCAGAUGCGCUGCGCGGGACUGAGGAUUGCAGCGGACACCUCUUCGGGGGCGCGGCGACCGAACCCUGCUCGGCCACCCGAGUUCGAUAGCGUGCUAACGGACGCGGGAGCGGCAGUGCACCGGAACAGGCAAGCCAGCGGUUCGCUUAGGAUGCUGACGUAAUGGCUUUAAACGACCCGUCUUGAAACACGGACCA